GGGGGAGCGGUGCCGUUACCUUGUUAACGGCCGCGUGCUCCCGCAGCGCCAGGUCCCAGAAGCGGCAGCCCACCUGGUUCCCGCACUGGCCCACUGUAAAGGGGGAGAGAGGCACAGGCUAUUGUUCGUACUCUUGAUCUCUCAGGAAGAAGAAAGAUUCAUCAGAACCUUCAACUAUGAGAGAGCUCUACAGUUCUUUACAGAAAUAAGAGGUACAAAACAAAUCUGUCUGGAGAUGCUGCCAGUUGUGGGUUGUCUUUCUGAAGCUUUAUGUACAAGCUCAUGGAAGUGAAAGACUUCAGUUCUUCCAGGUUGAUCUUUGGAUUGAC